rnacentral:rRNA from 1 species
RAAUUGAUUGUAAACUGCUUUUGUUASGGGAGAAACCUGUAUGGUUAACAGCCAUACAGCUGACGGUACCUGACGAAUAAGCCACGGCAAACUCUGUGCCAGCAGCCGCGGUAAUACAGAGGUGGCAAGCGUUACUCGGAAUUAUUGGGUGUAAAGGGCAGGUAGGUGGCCUAGUAAGUGAGGGGUGAAAUACUGCGGUUCAAUCGCAGAACAGCCUUUCAAACUGCAUGGCUUGAGAGAACUAGAGGAAGAUGGAAUUCCCGGUGU